rnacentral:rRNA from 1 species
AUGCGCUUUCCGAAUCAGAGAGACGUUAAGAAAGCGUGCUACAAUGACAGAAUGACUCUUAGAUCUUGUGGUGUGGUAGUGAAAAUUGUCCCAUGGACAGCCAAUAUUGGGGCCAAGGGUGUGAUGGAAACUGCUUGGGUUAAAGUGAUUAAUGUUCCUCUGGAGAGAAGAAAUGAGAGAAACUUGGCAUAUGUUUCCUCAUUGGUUGGUGUUCCUUUGGAGAUCGACAUGGCC